UACGUAGGGGGCUAGCGUUGUCCGGAAUCAUUGGGCGUAAAGCGCGUGUAGGCGGUCCGGUAAGUCCGCUGUGAAAGUCGGGGGCUCAACCCUCGAAUGCCGGUGGAUACUGUCGGGCUAGAGUACGGAAGAGGCGAGUGGAAUUCCUGGUGUAGCGGUGAAAUGCGCAGAUAUCAGGAGGAACACCAAUUGCGAAGGCAGCUCGCUGGGACGUAACUGACGCUGAGACGCGAAAGCGUGGGGAGCAAACAGG
rnacentral:rRNA from 1 species